rnacentral:lncRNA from 1 species
GUUAACACAUGGCUGCCAGGUUGGAUUGUGCUAAUUUUAUUUGUGCAGUUCAGUCUUCAGUGAUGUAGGGAGGAGUACGAAACAAUACUGAGACCAUAUGUUCCGAUUAACACAACUGAAUUCAAAGCAAUGCUUUUCCCUGCUCAGCUGGAAAACAAGCCCACAGUUUUCAGUGCUGCCAUAUAAGUGUUCAGAAGUAAGAUGACAAAGAAACAUAGAAAGAUCCCUUAAUUCACAUCAAAUAAGAACAGCAGGAGCUGUCUCUGCUGUUGGAAGGCCAUGGGGAGCUAUGUCAGUCCUGAGGAAAGGAGGAAGGACCAGCUGGAAGGAAAGAGAAACGGGAAAAGGAGCAUGGAUCUCAUUCCACAUCUCAUAAAAG